rnacentral:rRNA from 1 species
AGUGAACGCUGGCGGCAGGCCUAACACAUGCAAGUCGAACGAGUGGCGGACGGGUGAGUAAUGUCUGGGAAACUGCCUGAUGGGGGGGGAUAACUACUGGAAACGGUAGCUAAUCCCGCAUACCAUCAGAUGUCCCUAGCGGGGAAUAGCGUGUUGGUGGGGUAACGGCUCACCAAGGCGACGAUGCCCAGCUGGUCUGAGAGGAUGACCAGCCACACUGGAACGGGGACACGGUGCAGAAUCCUACGGGAGGCAGCAGUGGGAAAUCUUGCACAGGGGGCGCAAGCCUGUUGUAGCCAUGCCGCGUGUAUCAGGCGGGCCAUCGGGUUGUAAAGUACUUUCAGCGGGGAGGCGUUACCCAACGAAGAAGCACCGGCUAACUCCGUGCCAGCAGCCGCGGUAAUAC